rnacentral:misc_RNA from 1 species
GAUGAAGAACGUAGCGAAAUGCGAUAAGUAAUGUGAAUUGCAGAAUUCAGUGAAUCAUCGAAUCUUUGAACGCACAUUGCGCCCGCCAGUAUUCUGGCGGGCAUGCCUGUCCGAGCGUCAUUUCAACCCUCGAACCCCUCCGGGGGGUCGGCGUUGGGGACCUCGGGAGCCCCUAAGACGGGAUCCCGGCCCCGAAAUACAGUGGCGGUCUCGCCGCAGCCUCUCCUGCGCAGUAGUUUGCACAACUCGCACCGGGAGCGCGGCGCGUCCACGUCCGUAAAACACCCAACUUCUGAAAUGUUGACCACGGAUCAGGUAGGAAUACCCGCUGAACUUAAGCAUAUCAAUAAGCGGAGGA